UACAGAGGGUGCAAGCGUUGUUCGGAAUUAUUGGGCGUAAAGCGCGUGUAGGCGGCUUUGUAAGUUGGGUGUGAAAGCCCUCGGCUUAACCGAGGAAGUGCGCCCAAAACUGCAUCGCUUGAGUGCCGGAGAGGGUGGCGGAAUUCCCGGUGUAGAGGUGAAAUUCGUAGAUAUCGGGAGGAACACCAGUGGCGAAGGCGGCCACCUGGACGGCAACUGACGCUGAGACGCGAAAGCGUGGGGAGCAAAC
rnacentral:rRNA from 1 species